AGCAGCAGCCGCGGUAAUACCGAGGGUGCGAGCGUUAAUCGGAUUUACUGGGCGUAAAGCGUGCGUAGGCGGCUUUUUAAGUCGGAUGUGAAAUCCCUGAGCUUAACUUAGGAAUUGCAUUCGAUACUGGGAAGCUAGAGUAUGGGAGAGGAUGGUAGAAUUCCAGGUGUAGCGGUGAAAUGCGUAGAGAUCUGGAGGAAUACCGAUGGCGAAGGCAGCCAUCUGGCCUAAUACUGACGCUGAGGUACGAAAGCAUGGGGAGCAAACAGGAUUAGAUACCCCUGUAGUCCCUGUCUCUUAUAC
rnacentral:rRNA from 1 species